AGAGCUGACUGGGCAAUCGCUGUCCUGCUUGCAGGAGGGAGGAAAGUCCGGGCUUCACAGGGUAAGACGCUAGGUAACGCCUAGGCGGCGUGAGCCGACGGAAAGUGCAACAGAAAAUAAACCGCCUGCGAGUUCGCUCGUCGGUAAGGGUGAAACGGUGCGGUAAGAGCGCACCGCGUCGCUGGUAACAGUCGACGGCACGGCAAACCCCGUCUGAAGCAAAACCAAAUAGGGGUGCUAUGGUGUGACCCGCACUGCACCCGGGUAGGUUGCUUGAGGUGUACGGUGACGUACAUCCCAGAUGAAUGAUUGUCCUCGACAGAACCCGGCUUAUAGGUCAGCUCUCUAU
rfam:Thiothrix lacustris isolate A8 Ga0073116_1236, whole genome shotgun sequence.